CCCCAGGGGCCGGGUGUGCUGGCCUGGGCUUCUCCGCGGUCUCCUCCGGAAACGCCCUUCGGGAUCCCGGGGUCCGGGCCGUGGCCAUCGCCUCCCGCGGCAGUGCAGGGUCUGCGCAACGGGCCGGAUUGGGGAGGCGGGAAGGAGACCCCGCCCGGAGGGACAGCCGCGGACCGGUGCGGCGCCCUUACCUGUCCCGCGCGGACACCGCGGGGCCCAGCCCCAGGGACUGCGCUUCACGUUUGUGGGGGCUGCGGGUCUCCGUGUGGACGCGAGCGCUAGAAGGGAACGGACCAGGCGCUCCCCGCGACCUCAGGCCAGCCCUGCGGACCCACCAGGGGCUGAGGAGGGGCUGAGUGUUCUCUGGAGACAGACUGAGAGGAAACCGAGAGAGACACAGAGUAGGACUUCCUGCCAGAACCCGUGCAUUUCUCUGGGGUGCAGUUUGGAGUUUGCUUGGCGUAAGAUGAAACAUCGGAAGAGGAGAUACUGGUGAACUGCUGAAUACUGAUGAGUUGCUGGGUUGCUUGAUAAAGUUUCUGCGCUAACUUGCACCCCAUCUUCAAGUCCCUGCAUCUUCACAGAACUGCCUCGUGUGAUCUGCAUCACAUCCUGGAAGAUGGGCCAGCGCGUGUACCACUCUCCCCUUUUACAGGUGCUGUGCUUGUUUGCAACUUGUCACCAACUCCUCGACAGCCUCACCCACUGCUAGAGACAAACACGCUCCCCCUUGUUCUCAGAAACAUCCCUAAUUAAUGUCCCCCCUUUGUUCCUGAGGAAGAAGAAAAGGCAGUGCCAGUUAGUGAACAAGGCUCCUCCUGGGAUCUUGAGGGAUUAAGCAGGGAAAUUAAGUAAUCAGGUGACAACGGAAAUAACCGAGUGUCGGGCAGCAGUGCCCAUUUGACCCAGCUUAUUACUGUUUGGAGACUGGUGCUUUUGGACAAUUGCCUGGCUGCGCCUACGCUUUCCGUGGGGAUUACAGGCCACGUUUGCUCUCCGUGUGUUCUUAAAAGCAUUUAGUGGGAACCUUCCUGUUCUUGCAGGUCAGUGGGAAAGGCGGCCUGACUGGGCUUCAGCGAGCAGCCUUACCUGCCAGUGCCCUAUUAUGGGCUGUGUGUUUCUCGGUUCUGUCCCUGCUGAAGGCAGUCUCGAGACAGUUAAUAAUUGUGUUUAAGAUCUGAUGUCUGG
rnacentral:lncRNA from 1 species